AAUCUUGUGCGAGCCGCCCAACUUUUCUUUCUUUUCAUUACAAAAUUCGCAGGGCUUUAUUGACACAAAUCAGUCAUCUUGUAAAAUUCGUAGAAAAUUCAAUUCUAAUCAGAAUUCGAUGAUUCUUGAUGUUUCGGAAAGCUCUUUCAAUUGUCUACAACUUUCGUUUAUAAUGUUUUCUCAGAUUCUGUUUCGAACUGUCUUCAAAUUCACAAAACAUAUUCAGAUCCUGUUUUUCGCUUUGAAUCUGAGUCAGCAGACGUUUUAUUUAAUUCCCGAUUCGUUAUAACUCCGUUAUUGAUGAGCCAUACCUUUUCAGAAAGGUCUUUUCGUCCUCUACAACUUUCGUGUUUUGAGUUUUUCCAGAAAAUGUCGUUUAGAGGGUCAAAACAGUGGAUUAUUGGUCUGGGCAGAUUGGAUUCAUGGAGGGUUUUGGAGUUUUAAGAGGAUGUAAUUUUGAUUAGUUGCUAAGGAUUGAUUAUAUGAUCUAGGAUGGUGUUGAGUAUUUGAUUUCGGUGUUGAGGUUUGAUUUAAGAGCAAGUUGAUGUGCAUUGGAUUUGGAGUUCGGUGAUGUUAGAUUUGGAUUGACUUUUGGACUUCCGUUAGCUGCGCCUUUGUAAUAGUUACCUUUGUAAUCGGAUUUUGGAUUAAUAAAUUGUGUUGUAUUUUA